rnacentral:misc_RNA from 1 species
GAUGAAGAACGUAGCGAAAUGCGAUAAGUAAUGUGAAUUGCAGAAUUCAGUGAAUCAUCGAAUCUUUGAACGCACAUUGCGCCCGCCAGUAUUCUGGCGGGCAUGCCUGUUCGAGCGUCAUUACAACCCUCAGGCCCCCGGGCCUGGCGUUGGGGAUCGGCGGAAGCCCCCUGCGGGCACAACGCCGUCCCCCAAAUACAGUGGCGGUCCCGCCGCAGCUUCCAUUGCGUAGUAGCUAACACCUCGCAACUGGAGAGCGGCGCGGCCACGCCGUAAACACCCAACUUCUGAAUGUUGACCUCGAAUCAGGUAGGAAUACCCGCUGAACUUAAGCAUAUCAAUAAGCGGAGGA